ensembl:snoRNA Gm26343 predicted gene, 26343
AUGGCAAUAUGAAGGCAUUGCAGGUGUAGCUGCUGUGUCACAUGUGCGUCAGUUAGCGGCAGAAAGAAGAGAGGUUAUGUCUACUCUCAGUGUUCUGAUCUGUGAGUCUGAAUAAUUAGUAGCCUAACACU